rnacentral:rRNA from 1 species
AUUGAACGCUGGCGGCAUGCCUUACACAUGCAAGUCGAACGGUAACAGGUCUUCGGAUGCUGACGGGUGGCGAACGGGUGAGUAAUACAUCGGAACGUGCCCGAUCGUGGGGGAUAACGGAGCGAAAGCUUUGCUAAUACCGCAUACGAUCUACGGAUGAAAGCAGGGGACCGCAAGGCCUUGCGCGGACGGAGCGGCCGAUGGCAGAUUAGGUAGUUGGUGGGAUAAAAGCUUACCAAGCCGACGAUCUGUAGCUGGUCGGAGAGGACGACCGGCCACACUGGGACGUAGCCACGGCCCAGACUCCUCCGGGAGGCAGCAGUGGGGAAUUCUGGACAAUGGGCGCAAGCCUGACUCAGCCAUGCCGCGUGCAGGAUGAAGGCCUUCGGGUUGUAAACUGCUUUUGUACGGAACGAAAAGACUCUGGUUAAUACCUGGGGUCCAUGACGGUACCGUAAGAAUAAGCACCGGCUAACUACGUGCCAGCAGCCGCCGUAACAC